rnacentral:rRNA from 1 species
AGCGAACGCUGGCGGCAGGCCUAACACAUGCAAGUCGAGCGGCCGUAGCAAUACGGCGGCGGCAGCCGGGAGAGUAACACGUGGGAACGCGCCCUUCGGUUCGGGAUAACCCAGGGAAACUUGGGCUAAUACCGGAUACGCCCUUACGGGGAAAGAUUUAUGGCCGAAGGAACGGCCCGCGUCCGAUUAGCUUGUUGGUGAGGUAACGGCUCACCAAGGCGACGAUCGGUAGCUGGUCUGAGAGGAUGACCAGCCUCACUGGGACUGAGACACGGCCCAGACUCCUACGGGAGGCAGCAGUGGGGAAUAUUGGACAAUGGGCGCAAGCCUGAUCCAGCCAUGCCGCGUGGGUGAUGAAGGCCCUAGGGUUGUAAAGCCCUUUCAGCGGGGAAGAUAAUGACGGUACCCGCAGAAGAAGCCCCGGCUAACUUCGUGCCAGCCGCCGCGGUAAGAC